rnacentral:rRNA from 1 species
GUAAGGAGUUUUCGGCAAUGGGGGGAACCCUGACCGAGCAACGCCGCGUGAGUGAUGACGGCCCUAUGGGUUGUAAAGCUCUGUUAUAAGGGACGAACAGCUUUGCUAGGAAAUGAGCAGAGUCUGACGGUACUUUAUCAGAAAGCCACGGCUAACUACGUGCCAGCAGCCGCGGUAAUACGUAGGUGGCAAGCGUUAUCCGGAAUUAUUGGGCGUAAAGAGUGAGCAGGCGGCAGAUUAAGUUUGAGGUUAAAGCGUGGGGCUCAACCCCAUAAAGCCUUGAAAACUGAUCAGCUAGAGUACGAGAGAUGUGAAGGGAACUCCAUGUGUAGCGGUGAAAUGCGUAGAUAUAUGGAAGAACACCAGUGGCGAAGGCGCUUCACAAGCUCGAAACUGACGCUCAGUCACGAAAGCGUGGGUAGCAAAUAGGAUUAGAUACCCGGGUAGUCC